AUACGGAGGAUCCGAGCGUUAUCCGGAUUUAUUGGGUUUAAAGGGAGCGUAGGCGGACUAUUAAGUCAGCUGUGAAAGUUUGCGGCUCAACCGUAAAAUUGCAGUUGAUACUGGUCGUCUUGAGUGCAGUAGAGGUAGGCGGAAUUCGUGGUGUAGCGGUGAAAUGCUUAGAUAUCACGAAGAACUCCGAUUGCGAAGGCAGCUUACUGGACUGUAACUGACGCUGAUGCUCGAAAGUGUGGGUAUCAAACAGGAUUAGAUACCCUGGUAGUCCACACAGUAAACGAUGAAUACUCGCUGUUUGCGAUAUACAGUAAGCGGCCAAGCGAAAGCGUUAAGUAUUCCACCUGGGGAGUACGCCGGCAACGGUGAAACUCAAAGGAAUUGACGGGG
rnacentral:rRNA from 1 species